rnacentral:tRNA from 1 species
CCAUCGGUGGUUAAGUGGUAGAAUGCUUGCUUGUCACACGGGCGUCCCGGGUUCGAUUCCCGGCCGAUGCU